AUCAUGUGGGGAUCUUGCUGAAAUGCAGGCUCUGAUUUGGUAGGUCUGGGGCAGGGGCUGAGAUUUUGCAUUUCUAGCAAACUCCCAGGUGAUGCUGA
rnacentral:pre_miRNA from 1 species